GAUGAACGCUAGCUACAGGCUUAACACAUGCAAGUCGAGGGGAAACGGCAUUAAGUGCUUGCACUUUUUGGACGUCGACCGGCGCACGGGUGAGUAACGCGUAUCCAACCUGCCCCUUACCAGGGAAUAACCCGUUGAAAGACGGACUAAUGCCCUAUGCAGUCCUUUGACGGCAUCAGAUUAGGACUAAAGAUUUAUCGGUAUGGGAUGGGGAUGCGUCUGAUUAGCUUGUUGGCGGGGUAACGGCCCACCAAGGCAUCGAUCAGUAGGGGUUCUGAGAGGAAGGUCCCCCACAUAGGAACUGAGACACGGUCCUAACUCCUACGGGAGGCAGCAGUGAGGAAUAUUGGUCAAUGGGCGCUAGCCUGAACCAGCCAAGUAGCGUGCAGGAUGACGGCCCUAUGGGUUGUAAACUGCUUUUAUGCGGGGAUAAAGUCACCCACGUGUGGGUGUUUGCAGGUACCGCAUGAAUAAGGACCGGCUAAUUCCGUGCCAGCCGCCGCCGUAACAC
rnacentral:rRNA from 1 species